GGACCCUUCUACACUAUGUCAGGACCCUUCUCCACUAUGUCAGGACCCUUUUACACUAUGUCAGGAUCAUUCUACAAUUAGGAAAUCUUCUACACUAUGUCAGGACCCUUCUCCACUAUGUCAGGACCCUUUUACACUAUGUCAGGACCCUUCUACAAUGUAGGAAAUCUUCUACACUAUGUCAGGACCCUUCUCCACUAUGUCAGGACCCUUUUACACUAUGUCAGGAUCAUUCUACAAUGUAGGAAAUCUUCUACACUAUGUCAGGACCCUUCUCCACUAUGUCAGGACCCUUUUACACUAUGUCAGGAUCAUUCUACAAUUAGGAAAUCUUCUACACUAUGUCAGGACCCUUCUCCACUAUGUCAGUACCCUUCUCCACUAUGUCAGGACCCUUCUAAUCUAUGUCAGGACCCUUCUACACUAUGUCAGGACCCUUCUACACUUUAGGAAAUCUUCUACACUAGAAGAGAAAGAGAAAGAGGAAACAGAGAGGAGGAAAGAGAGAGAGAACGAGAGGAGGAGAGAGAGAGAGAGCGAGAGAGAGAGAAAGAGAGAAAGAAACUGAGAGAGGAGGAGAGAGAGGUGAGGCAAUGAAGGAUAGAGGAGUGAGAGGAAGAUUGUGCCAGAACUCAGUGAGUGCAGCUAAAUCUCUCAGAGCUCAGUCAAUAAAACAGAGGGCUCUUAGAAAACAAACCCUUCUCCACUAUGUCAGGACCCUUCUAUGCUAUGUCAGGACCCUUCUACACUAUGUCAGGACCCUUCUAAUCUAUGUCAGGACCCUUCUACACUAUGUCUGGACCCUUCUACGCUGUAGGAAACGUUCUACACUAUGUCAGGAGCCUUCUCUACUAUGUCAGGACCCUUCUCCACUAUGUCAGGACCCUUCUACGCUAUGUCAGGACCCUUCUACACUAUGUCAGGACCCUUCUACACUUUAGGAAAUCUUCUACACUAGAAGAGAAAGAGAAAGAGGAAACAGAGAGGAGGAAAGAGAGAGAGAACGAGAGGAGGAGAGAGAGAGAGAGCGAGAGAGAGAGAGAGAGAGAGAGAGAUAGAAGGAAACAGAGAGAGGAGGAGAGAGAGAGAAAGAGAGAGAGAGAGGGGAGACAAGGAAGGAUAGAGGAGUGAGAGGAAGAUUGUGCCAGAACUCAGUGAGUGCAGCUAAAUCUCUCAGAGCUCAGUCAAUAAAACAGAGGGCUCUUAGAAAACAAACCCUUCUCCACUAUGUCAAGACCCUUCUACACUAUGUCAGGACCCUUCUACACUAUGUCAGGACCCUUUUACACUAUGUCAGGACACUUCUACACUAUGUCAGGACCCUUCUACACUAUGUCAGGACCCUUCUACACUAUGUCAGGACCCUUCUACACUAUGUCAGGACCCUUCUACACUAUGUCAGGACCCUUCUACACUAUGUCAGGACCCUUCUACACUGUCAUAACCCUUUUCCACUAUGUCAGGACCAUUUUACACUAUGUCAGGACCCUUCUACACUGUAGGAACCCUUCUACACUAUGUCAAGACACUUCUACACUAUGUCAGGACCCUUCUACACUAUGUCAGGACCCUUCUACACUAUGUCAGGACCCUUCUACACUAUGUCAGGACCCUUCUACACUGUCAUAACCCUUUUCCACUAUGUCAGGACCAUUUUACACUAUGUCAGGACCCUUCUACACUGUAGGAACCCUUCUACACUAUGUCAAGACACUUCUACACUAUGUCAGGUCAAUUCUACACUAUGUCAGGACCCUUCUACACUAUGUCAGGACCCUUUUACACUAUGUCAGGACCCUUCUAC
rnacentral:lncRNA from 1 species